rnacentral:sRNA from 1 species
ACAACAUGUUGCAGGCUCUUGUGAUGGACAGGAUGAACCCUAACAUGCUCAUACUACAAAACUUCCUGGAGCAGUCAGAGAUGUGGAAUUGAGAAGGAAGGGAGCAGCACUCCCACAGAAGGUGUUCACAAGGUCUCUUUACUCCUUUUCCAGAUCAUCUUACCUUGGUCAUUACUGUCAGACAAAGUGCACGAACAGAUGCGGGCCUUGGGCACUAUUUCCUGGCUGCUGAGGUUUAUUUGCAAUUUCCCCGAACUCACAUGGAGGAAUUCUCAAUGAGUGGGAAACUGAUGAGCAUCUUCGGCCUGUUCGUCAUGGGCUGCAACCACGAGAUCAGCAUAGAGGCAUCAGAGGCGUUGCAUUACCUGUUCAAAAUCCUUGUGUUUCAGAGAAGUGUGAAACAAAAGACAGAGACUAUCCUGAAGGAUUUGCAGAAGCAUUUCCGUGGAGCAUGGCUUGCCAGCCUGCAGGAUCUAACACUGUUCUUCAAGAAAUACCUGACCCCUGAGGAGAGAGCAGAUAUGAUCACGGUGAGCAUGGAGGCCAUGACCAACACCAGCAGGCGUGACAUCUCUGCAGCUUCCAAGAUGUUAAAGAUGAUCCUGAAGUACACGAUUCCAGAGAUCGGGAAGGUGCCGGAAAUCAUCCAGUACAUUCACUACCACAUGAACAGCAUUACAGAAACCACAGCCCAAAAGACCAUUAAGAAGAUCCUGUAUCUGCUGUCCCAGUACUACACUGAAGUUAUCCUGACACUAUUGAAGAUAGCAGAUCAGUCACAAAAGGGGGUUUGCAAACCCUGGGAAAUCCUGGCAUCCUUCCCCAAAGGCUACGAAAUGAUCGUGGACUACCUGCUCCAGAGGCUGACUCCACACUGGACACCAAAGGACCAGGAGCCCAGCCACAGAACAGAGAUCUCACCAUUGAUUGCCACCAGGGCCAUCCAUGAGCUCCUGCUGGAACCCAGUUGGCAGAUGGAGGUGCGGUCCUUCUUCUCCUCCUUGUUCAUGGCCCUGCUGUUCCAGAUCUCCUUUUUGGUGGUUGAAGGGGACGCUGAAAUAAGCCAGGAUCAGCAACACAUAGCUGAAUGGAUGGACCCCAUAAGUUCUACCAUGGAGGCCCUGAAGACCUUGAUUCAAAGUUCUGGAUAUGGGGACUGUGUGUCUUCUAUUCAGAGACAUGGGGUCUGGGGGCUGCUCGUCAAUCCUGAAAGACACUAUGACAGAGUCACUCUGCUGGCCAGGUCCCUGGUCAUCAAUAACUGUUGGCACAACCGCCCCCUCUUCAGCUCCAUCAUCAGGUUCCUCCAGGACCCAGACUGCAAGAAUCACUUAACGGCCCUUGUGUUCCUGACAGAGCUGCUUCAGUGCCCAGAUGUGGCAGCCUUAGUGGAUGACUUCACCACCUGCAUUCUGGCAAACUGGUUCAAGAGUGAGGAGCCAGCCACAGUGAAGCCAUUGCUGCAGAUGCUAGAGGUCUUUGCGAAGCAUGAAAACAUGGUCCCUUGGAGAUUGCUGUCAUCAUCAGGGAUGAGAAGCGCAGUGGCGAUGGAAACUUACAGUGUAGUGGGAGGAGGGGGCCUCCUCUGUUUUCUCCCCUUUCCUCAUGAUGGACACAAGGUGAGGCGGCUCUGAAUCCUCCAGCCCUAUGUGCUGAACUGCUGCUACUCCUCGAACAGCAACAUCGUACUGGAGACUUUGCUGGUGCUGAAGAAUCUCCUGAGCCACCUCACCUGGCAGCACUCCUCCUCCUUCCUGACCCAGCUCACCUUCACGCUGGUGCCCUUCUUUGAGGAGGUGUCAGAGCAUCUGCGGUUGGCAGCCUUUGAGAUCUAUGGGAGUCUCUUGACCAAGGUCAAGAAGAGGGGCCUUGUCUUCCCCUUGAAACACCAGAUCCUCAACUUGCUAGUCCCCCUGGUGCUCCACCUGAGGGACGUGAAUACCGAUGUGGCUCUGGUGAGAGGCCAGGCCUUGGAGCCUGGUCUUCAGUCCCCGUUUUCAUGGGAGAUCUGCCGGUCUGCCCUCUGCCACACAGCUGCCGUGCUGGGCUGGUCAAAGCUGAAAGCAGUAUUUGCAGAGAAAGAUGUGUGGAACAUUCUUGGAGCCCUGCUGGAUCAGGAGACAAACAAAGCCCUCUGGUUUCUGAAGCAGCGUGUGGCUCUCUUCAAGAGCCCACAGGUUCCCAUCCGCUGGGCAGCUGUGUGGUUUGCAGGUCAGAUUAUCCAAACCCUAGACUUGGAAGAGAUCGAUGAAAUUGAGGAGGCAUACACAGCCCUACGGCACAUGCAGAGAGACUCCGACCCCACGGUCAGCUGCCUCACCACGCAGACUUUCCAUAUCCUGGAAGCCAAGAAGAAGCGGCUACUGGCCAAGCCCCCCAACCUCCUGCUUCUGCAGGAGGAGGCCCCAAAGGCACUACUUCUGAGCCUGCAUCCUUGUGUCUCAGAUGUAGGCCUGGCCAUUAGACCCUGUGACAAUGGGGCCAGAUUCCUGGGUCCUGCACUAGAAAUGGAAGGUGUAUCCCUGCACAAUCUUUGUAAUAAAAGGAAAAAGUAUGC